UACAGAGGUCUCAAGCGUUGUUCGGAUUCAUUGGGCGUAAAGGGCGCGUAGGCUGCGGGGCAAGUCGGGUGUGAAAUCUCAGAGCUCAACUCUGAAACUGCACCCGAUACUGCUUUGCUCGAGGACUGGAGAGGAGAUUGGAAUUCACGGUGUAGCAGUGAAAUGCGUAGAUAUCGUGAGGAAGACCAGUGGCGAAGGCGGAUCUCUGGACAGUUCCUGACGCUGAGGCGCGAAGGCCAGGGGAGCAAACGGG
rnacentral:rRNA from 1 species